rnacentral:rRNA from 1 species
AUUGAACGCUGGCGGCAUGCCUUACACAUGCAAGUCGAACGGUAACAGGUCUUCGGAUGCUGAUGAGUGGCGAACGGGUGAGUAAUACAUCGGAACGUGCCUAGUAGUGGGGGAUAACUACUCGAAAGAGUGGCUAAUACCGCAUGAGAUCUACGGAUGAAAGCAGGGGAUCGCAAGACCUUGUGCUACUAGAGCGGCCGAUGGCAGAUUAGGUAGUUGGUGGGAUAAAAGCUUACCAAGCCGACGAUCUGUAGCUGGUCUGAGAGGACGAUCAGCCACACUGGGACUGAGACACGGCCCAGACUCCUACGGGAGGCAGCAGUAGGGAAUUUUGGACAAUGGGCGCAAGCCUGAUCCAGCCAUUCCGCGUGCAGGACGAAGGCCUUCGGGUUGUAAACUGCUUUUGUACGGAACGAAAAGGCUCUGGUUAAUACCUGGGGCUCAUGACGGUACCGUAAGAAUAAGCACCGGCUAACUACGUGCCAGCCGCCGCCGUAA